GACAGAGGUGCCGAGCGUUAGGCGGAAUCACUGGGCUUAAAGCGUGUGUAGGCGGAUCUGUAAGUACCUUGUGAAAUCCCACGGCUCAACCGUGGAACUGCUUGGUAUACUGCGGGUCUUGGGCCACCUAGGGGCAAGUGGAACAAACGGUGGAGCGGUGAAAUGCGUAGAUAUCGUUUGGAACGCCAAUGGUGAAAACAACUUGCUGGGGGUGUGCUGACGCUGAGACACGAAAGCCAGGGGAGCAAACGGG
rnacentral:rRNA from 1 species